rnacentral:lncRNA from 1 species
GGGCGCCACAGCUGUCUUCCUCCAUAUGAUAUCACGCAAGAGGCGAAAGAAUCCCUUUACCUUAUUUACAAAAAAAGAACGCGGUCGAUCGGAGUACCCUUCCUCCUUUUUGAGGCUUUUAGGCCUCCGGUCAGUCAGGGGUUGACAUGAGACCGGAUUUUGGGGGGAAUCCAUUCUUUGCCCUGCUGUCUGUGGUAAGUCAGUCUGCUUUGCCUUCUCGCUCGAAUUCUUUUCAAUGUAAUUG